rnacentral:rRNA from 1 species
CGGGAGGCAGCAGUGAGGAAUAUUGGUCAAUGGGCGCAAGCCUGAACCAGCCAUGCCGCGUGCAGGAUGACAGUUCUAUGGAUUGUAAACUGCUUUUAUACGGGAAGAAUAACCUGAACGUGUUCGGGGAUGACUGUACUGUAUGAAUAAGCAUCGGCUAACUCCGUGCCAGCAGCCGCGGUAAUACGGAGGAUGCAAGCGUUAUCCGGAUUUAUUGGGUUUAAAGGGUGCGUAGGCGGGGUAUUAAGUCAGUGGUGAAAGUCUGCAGCUUAACUGUAGAAUUGCCAUUGAUACUGGUACUCUUGAAUACAAUUGAGGUAGGCGGAAUGUGUAAUGUAGCGGUGAAAUGCAUAGAUAUUACACAGAACACCGAUUGCGAAGGCAGCUUACUAAAUUGUGAUUGACGCUGAGGCACGAAAGCGUGGGGAUCAAACAGGAUUAGAUACCCUGGUAGUCCACGCCGUAAACGAUGAUCACUGGAUGUUGGCGAUACACAGUCAGCGUCUGAGCGAAAGCAUUAAGUGAUCCACCUGGGGAGUACGACCGCAAGGUUGAAACUCAAAGGAAUUGACGGGGGGCCCGCACAAGCGGAGGAACAUGUGGUUUAAUUCGAUGAUAC